rnacentral:ncRNA from 1 species
UGUCGUGAGGCAGAAUCUGAAGGAAGCCAGAGGCAAAGUUCCGGGCCGACGAACAGAAACCGCAUAGUAGGCUGUAAAGGGCGGACGAUUCUGCCCACCAAGAAGAAGUCCAAUGCUACCCGGACCCAAUACAGUAGAUGCGGCGGCUACACGAAAUGAAAGUG